CCUACGGGUGGCAGCAGUGGGGAAUAUUGGACAAUGGGCGAAAGCCUGAUCCAGCCAUGCCGCGUGUGUGAAGAAGGCCUUCGGGUUGUAAAGCACUUUCAGUGGGGAAGAAAGCCUUGGGGCUAAUACCCUCGAGGAAGGACAUCACCCACAGAAGAAGCACCGGCUAACUCCGUGCCAGCAGCCGCGGUAAUACGGAGGGUGCGAGCAUUAAUCGGAAUUACUGGGCGUAAAGCGUGCGUAGGCGGUCUGAUAAGCCGGUUGUGAAAGCCCCGGGCUCAACCUGGGAACGGCAUCCGGAACUGUCAGGCUAGAGUGCAGGAGAGGAAGGUAGAAUUCCCGGUGUAGCGGUGAAAUGCGUAGAGAUCGGGAGGAAUACCAGUGGCGAAGGCGGUCUUCUGGACUGACACUGACGCUGAGGUGCGAAAGCGUGGGUAGCAAACAGGAUUAGAUACCCGAGUAGUC
rnacentral:rRNA from 1 species